UGAUUCUAUUUCCAUUUUGAUAUCAGGUUCAUAAGCAGGGUGUUGCACUUGGAAGAUCUGUUGACUUGACAAAGUUUGAUGGUUAUGACCAAUUGAUUGAGGAGUUAGAUCAGCUAUUUGAAUUCAAAGGAGAAUUGAUGGCUCCAAAUAAAAAUUGGAUGAUUGUAUUUACUGAUAAUGAGGAUGAUAUGAUGCUUGUUGGAGAUGACCCUUGGCAGGAAUUUUGUGCUAUGGUCCGUCAGAUUUUUAUAUACACAAAAGAGGAGGUCCAGAAGAUGGAUUCAAGUACCUUGAACCCAAAAAAUGAAGAUUGUCCUGAUAUGAAAGAGAAUGUCAAGGAAACAAAAGGCAGUCAAUCUGCAUCAUCAUCUAAUUCAAAAAACUCAUAGGCUUAUCCUGCAAUGAUCUUGAAGCACAAACAAAGUGAUUGUUUGUGCUUUAUCUAAGUGAUUGUUUGAACAGUUUUAUAGCAUGCAUCUUGACAAUUAAUAUAAUUUUGAAGAUCACUAUCAAGGAAGAAUGUUCAAAGGAAAGUAAAGGCUAAGGAGAAGAUCACGUAAUUAACUACACGGGUCUAGUGAAAAUACUGAAGAAGUAU